UAACGACGCGGGCGGCGUCAUGUCUCGAACCUGGUCAGGUCUUGACGGAAGCAGCCAUAAGGGGCCGCUGACGAGCGUCCGCGUCGACCCUG
rnacentral:SRP_RNA from 1 species